CUGCUCAAUGAUUAAUUUUAAAUAGCUGCAGAAUUUUAACUGUACAAAGGUAGCAUAAUAAAUAGUUUUUUAAUUGAAAACUAGAAUGAAAGAUUUAAUGAAAAAUAAACUUUAUUAGUUAAAUAAAUUAAAAUUUUUUUUAAAUAAAAAUAUUUAAAUAAACUAAAUAAACAAAAAGACCCUAAAAACUUUAUAAAUUCUUAAAAUAAUUUAUUUAAUUGGGGAAAUUAUAAAAUUUAAUUAAUUUUUAUUUUUAACUACAAAAAUACUUGAAUAAAACAUUUUUUAAAAAAAAUUAAUUUAAGUUACUUUAGGGAUAACAGUAUAAUUUUUUAUUUUAGAUCAUAUAAAUUAAAAAGUUUAUAACCUCGAUGUUGAAUUAAGAUACAAAUAAAAUGAAACCAUUUUAAUUUUAAGUCUGUUCGACU
rnacentral:rRNA from 1 species